UUUCAUACAUCUCAUUAAGCAUUGCAUUCCUAUUUCAAUUUUACAUAGUUUAGUCUUUUUGUAUUCUUUUAGUUUCAUUUGGGAAAUGUAAUAUUUAGGUAGGUUUUAUUUCUUUUAAAUUUCUUACAAAGACCAUAGAAUGUAAUUAGGACAAUGUAAAGGACUAUGGACAUUAUAAGGGAUGUACACCGACACAAGCACCGACACGCACACACGUUGCAUGAUUACCGCUUAGAUGUAUGCUUAGGUUUUACAACGCUUAGAAAAAAAAUCAUUUUUCAAAAAUAUGAAUAACCUCAUUUGAAAACUUUUUUUCUAAAAUAGGAGUCAAAACUCCUCAUUUCCCUUUUGUUUUCUUAAGAAAAAAUCCCAAUGAAUUUUAAUCAUACUUAGACUUUAUUUUACAAAAUAACUACUUCCACCUCACAUUUUCCAAAUCUCAUGCCCUUGAGGCCUCUCAUCUCCAUUUUUCAAAAUUCCUUUUUCAAACUUAAAAUCAACCAACAAAAACAAAAACAAUUUUCGAGAACGAACUACGAUUGGUUUUGAUCCCUUAAAAGGGUACGUAGGCAAUGAGUCAAAACUCCUCCAAGCCAAAUAAAAAUAAGAUCUCAAUCAUCUUCUCUCCCCCAUUCUUCACUCAAAUAAAACUUCUUUUCUUUCAAUAAGUAGACAAUAAAAAUAAAGCGUAGAAAUAAGCUUAGGAGAACGGUUCUUAUGGAGUACCAUAAUCGCUCUGGGUGCCUAACACCUUCCCGUAGCGAAAACGACCCCCGAACUUAGAAUCUAAGGGUUUUUUUCUCAAUUUUGCCCUUCCCAAGAAAAAAUAGAGAAUAUCAAAGAUUGAAAGGUUCAAGCCUAAUUAAUGACUUGACACCCGAAAAUCGCGAUAACACUACUGUAUCCGGUUAUCGUUGGUUUGUAAUAUUUAUCGAUGAUUGCACUCGAAUGACAUGGCUUUACCCAAUGAAAACUAAAGACGAAGUGUUUCAAAUAUUUCAGAAUUUUCGUGCCAUGGUUCAAAACCAAUUUUCUGCCAAGAUUCAUGUUCUUCGAUCAGACAAUGGAGGGGAGUUCGUUAAUCAUCGUUUCAAAGCAUACUUCCAACAACAUGGUCUUUUUCAUGAGACCUCAUGCUCUCAAACCCCACAGCAGAACGGGGUUUCCGAACGGAAAAAUCGUAGUAUCUUAGAGAUAGCACGUGCUCUUCUUCUAGGAACCAAUGUUCCAACUCGCCAUUGGGAUGACGCUGUGACUACAACUGUGUACCUUCUCAACCGCAUGCCCUCAAAGAUCUUGCAUUUUAAAACUCCUCUAGAAAUGUUAUCUUCUCAUGUAGAGUUACCCACUAUAUUGAUGCUUGAUCCUCGGAUUUUUGGGUGUGUGGUUUUUGUUCAUCUUCACAAAAACCAACGCACCAAACUUGACCCAUGUGCUGUUAAGUGUUUGUUUCUUGGCUAUGGAGUACAUAAAAAGGGCUACAAAUGCUUUGACCCCACCACCAAUAAAACUUAUAUCACAAUGGAUGUAACUUUUCUAGAGUCUGAACCUUUUUUUUCUCCUAGAGUAUCCCAUUCAGCCCUUAAGGGGGAGUCCAUAAAUAAAGAGCUGAAUUGGUACAUGGCAGCUCCACCAACUGUCGAAAAGGAACAAAGUGGAGAGCAUGAAUCUAUAGGUGAAGGAGUAAUACAUGGUGAACUUUCAGAAAUGCUAAAUUUAAGCAUAACUGAUGUUGAGAAUGAAAAGGAUCAUUCUAGUGAAAAAGCUUCUACUAGCGAAGUGGUUCCCGUUAAUGAAGAGUAUAUCGAUCAAGGAACUCAAGAGUCCCCAUUCUCCACAAUACCCGACCCUCUCACCGAGAAUAAUCAUGAGGUAAGCUCUCCUAUUAUCUCAUUAUCUACUAAUGCUCCUAUGAGAUAUGAGUUGCCUUCAAGGAACAAUCGAGGAAAGCCACCCAAUAGAUACUCCCCUGAUGUAGAAGAAAGGCGGUCAAAAUACCCCAUCACAAAUUAUGUUGCUACUCAACAUUUAUCACAACCUAUUCAGUCCUUCACAAAGACAUUGUUCUCCAGUCAUAUUCCAAAUAAUGUGGAGGAAGCCUUGGAUGAUCCUAAGUGGGCACAAGCGAUACAAGAGGAAAUGGAGGCUCUACAAAAAAAUAAUACAUGGAGGCUAAUACCACUUCCUGAAGGGAAGAAGACAGUGGGGUGCAAAUGGGUGUUCUCGAUUAAAUACAAGGUUGACGGGUCCAUUGAUCGGUACAAAGCAAGGCUAGUGGCCAAAGGGUUCACACAAACAUAUGGUAUAGAUUAUACCGAGACUUUUUCACCUGUUGCCAAACUAAAUACUGUUAGAGUUUUAUUAUCUCUCGCAGCAAAUUUAGAUUGGCCACUACUACAGCUUGACGUGAAAAAUGUGUUUCUUCAUGGCGAUCUUGAAGAAGAUGUUUAUAUGAAUAUCCCACCGGGAUAUAUGUAUCCUUCUGGUACCGGGGUAGUAUGCAAGUUAGAGCGAGCAUUGUAUGGACUGAAACAAUCACCUCGGGCAUGGUUUGGAAGAUUUAGUACAGCUAUGAGAAGGUAUGGAUAUAUCCAAAGCAAUGCAGAUCAUACUCUAUUCUUAAAGCAUAAACAUGGAAUGGUGACGGCUCUAAUUGUUUACGUAUAUGACAUGAUUAUUACAGGAGAUGACAGUGAAGAAAUCUCAAUACUACAAGAAAAAUUAGCAGCUGAAUUUGAGAUGAAGAAUUUGGGUGGACUGAAGUAUUUUUUGGGAAUAGAAGUUGCAAGGUCAAAAAGGGGAAUUUUCUUGUCUCAAAGAAAGUAUGUGUUGGAUCUAUUGUCUGAAGUGGGGAUGUUGGAUUGUAAACCAGUAGAUACUCCCAUAGCCCAAAAUCACAAACUCACUGAAUACACAGACCAAGUGCCCGCAGAUAAAAUAAGGUAUAAAAAAUUGGUGGGGAAGCUUAUUUAUCUGUCACAUACUCGCCCCGAUAUUGCCUAUGCCGUAAGUGUGGUGAGUCAGUUUAUGCAUAAUCCAAGUGAUGAACAUAUGGGUGCAGUAAACCGAAUACUUUGCUAUUUAAAAUCCUCACCGGGAAAAGGGUUGAUGUUUUCUAAGAAUAAUCACUUGAAUGUUGAAGGGUACACCGACUCAGAUUGGGCAGGGAAUGUUCUAGAUAGAAAAUCAACAUCAGGCUAUUUCACAUUUGUGGGAGGGAAUCUAGUUACUUGGAGAAGUAAGAAGCAAAAGGUAGUGGCGUUGUCUAGCGCUGAAGCUGAGUUCAGGGGCAUGGCAAAAGGACUUUGUGAACUACUAUGGCUCAGAAGGUUACUCAUAGAGAUUGGCUUUGGUCCUAGCACUGAGAUGAACUUGUUUUGUGACAACAAAGCAGCAAUUGAUAUCUCACAAAAUCCUAUCCAGCAUGAUCGAACGAAACAUAUGGAGAUAGAUCGGCAUUUCAUCAAGCAGAAUCUUGAAGAGAAGAUUAUUCGGUUUCCUUUUGUCAAGUCGGAAGACCAGUUGGCGGAUAUUCUUACAAAAGCAGUUUUUGGUAAGAACUUCCAUGACUCCCUUGACAAGUUGGGAAUUGAAGAUAUUUACGCACCAACUUGAGGGAGAGUGUUGGCGUGAGUCACUAGAAUCACCAAUAUUAAAUGUAAUUAUUAGCUGAGUCAUUAGAAUCACUAGUAUUUAUUAUAAUUAGUUGUAUAAUCCCUGAUUUCUAGUUGUAUAGGUUGACACGUCCUGAAAUUCCUCCUGUAAUAUCUAUAUACUCGGCAAGUUACACAGAGAAAAAUAAUGAAUGAAAAACCUUCUGUUUGACAUGUUACUCCCAAGAGAAAGUAGGGAGAGUUGCCAAAUCAAUGAGUAUGAUAUUCCAGCUAAGACUAGGGUUAUUGUCAAUGCUUGGGCGAUUGGAAGAGAUCCAAAGUAUUGGGUUGAAGCUGAGAGUUUUAAACCCGAGAGGUUUGUUAAUAGCUCAAUUGAUUUCAAAGGCACAGACUUUGAAUACAUACCAUUUGGUGCUGGAAGGAGGAUGUGUCCGGGCAUUGCAUUUGCCUUAUCAAAUGUUGAACUUCCUCUUGCUGAAUUACUUUAUAACUUUGAUUGGAAGCUUCCCAACGGAAUGAGCCAUCAAGAACUUGAUAUGACCGAGUCAUUUGGGCUUAGUGUAGGAAGAAAACACGACCUAUGUUUGAUUCCUAUUAAUCAUCAUCCGUAAUAUUUGUAUUAUAUAAGCCAACAAUUUCACAAAGUGUGUAAUUUUCUUAUGCUACUUUCAGCAAGGCGCAUGAGAUGUCGUUUACAUGAAUAAUGUACCUUAAAAAUAGAGAAACUGUCAAGAUAUACAAAAUCAACAUAUGCUAAAGCCUUUGGAUCAUUUUGCAGGCUUACUUCAGUAGUUCUAAUUUGCAGGAUUAAGAUAUAUUUUUCUCUAUUGGUUUUCUAUGUAAGAUUAGGUAAAGAUGCAAGUUAGAUGUAUUUUAAAUUCUCACUAUAAGUUUACAAUUGGUGUAUACUCUAAAUUUAUUCUGAAUUUAUUUACAUGGCUGUGUACUUAAACUUACAUUUUUGCAACUGUGUAUAGUUUACACAUUGUUUUUUUUAGGGGUCAAAUUAAAGGAUUAGAAAACUAGGUGGAUGAACUUUGAUUUGAAUGAGCUCAUUUGUUCGCUCGAUCGAUUGACUUGUGUGUGCAUGGCUAACUUGGUUCUUAGCAUAUGUAAUAUAGUUUGGGAAAUAAAGUAGGUGAAUACUCUUAUAUCCAUGUAGUUUGAUUCGGUAUGUACUCUCAUUCAUUCAUUCAAUAUUAUGUCAUCUUUUUAUAUUAAGUUAUUUUAAAAUAAAUUUAAAUUUUAAAUGAAUUUCGCCUACAUGCUACUGAUAGAUUUUUUAGCAAGUGCACUAAAUACUAUCGAAGUAGUAAAAAUAUCGUUCCCACGAGGACUGUGUUAAUCUCAAUUUAGCAAUAAGGUAAAUAUUUAGGAUGUGAAAAUUUCUUUUAGUGCGUGAGGCAGUAGGUUGGUUUGCAUAAAAUUAAAUAAACAGAAAAUAAAGAUAAUUUUGGAAAAGAUAAAGAGAGAGAUAAGAUCGGGUCUUUCGAAUCAUCUAUGUUCCCCUAAUUGGUAUACUGCACCUAUUUUUAUGAAUGAUUUUCUAGUUCCACGAUAGUUAACAAAAUAGUCCUAAUCAAUCCCUUGAGUUAGGACCCUCUUUUCAAACUACAGCCCCUAAUUCCUUAGGUGGUCUAAUAAUCUUUGAAGGUUUAAGCAUGUUAACCUAAUAUCACUAACAAACGAUUAUCCAUACCUAGACUAACCCUGUUUAUUAGAACAAUUCAAUUCUGUCUAAGUAGAAAGCUAUGGUCAGUAGUCAUUCAUUCUUAUUAAAUCAUGUUUAUAUUUGAUCAGGAUAUAAAAAGCAUUAAGAACAAUUGAAUUGAAUAAAAAUUAGAUUGUCAUUCACAAUAAAUAGAGUUUCACAGCAACAUGGUUCAAUUAGGGUUACAAAGAAUCAUCUCAGACCUAAUCUCUAAGAGAUUUAGCUACUCAUAAUUGAGUUUACAAAUAGCAUAAUCAAUAGUGGAAUCAAAACAUACAUGAACUGAUAGAAGGUUGAAGAAAUCGCCCUCCUAGUCAUCUUUAGGUCUCAAAAUCGCACUUUGCUCUCUCCAAAUCGUAACCCUUGUCUUUGGAAUAGACUUCAGCUUAAAUAGGCACAUAAUUCCGCCUAAAAUCGUGCCACGAUUUAAGUAAAUCGUGGCACGAUUCUCCUUGAAUCGCAAAUCACUGAAUUAGGGUUUCCUCAGAUCGUGCCACGAUUAUGCCAUCGUGACACGAUUUCUUCAAUGUCGAAGCUUGAUUUUGGUCUUCUAAAAUCGUGUCACGUUUUUACCAAAUCGUGACACGAUUCUCUUCUUUGUAUUUUCUUUAGUUUUCUACUCUUUUGCUGCAUAAGUUGCCUUGUGAGCUCCAAUUUGUGAUCAAAAUACAUAUAAAAAGACUCUAAAAAUAGCGAAUGACUGACUGUCAUCAGCUACCAACAUUCAAUCAAACUCCAAAUUAAUCAAGAACUUACCAAUAUGUUAUGUUCGAUCAUGAAAUACUAAAAUCUUGUCAUUUGUUCAUUUAAUCGCCAAUGUUUGCUUCAUGGUUUAACUUGAAGAAACACAAUGAGUAUGGUUGAUCCGUCAAGGCUCGAGAUCUACGGUCAAUGCAAGGUGGUAAUGACUUUGAGUUGGCGACAUUCGGUCUGUGACUUCCUUCUUCUCCAGAGGGGUGAUGUACAGACAAACACUUCGACGAUCAAAUAAAAAUGCGUCUAAUUUGCGAAGUCUUUAUCAAACAAUUUUUUAAAAGAGUUUUUCGAAAUAAGAUUUUAACACAAUUCAAACUUCAGAACUUAUGAAAAAACGAAUAAGAGCGAUGUACAUAAAGUUUAAAAACCCCAGUUGACUAAUUUUGUUUGGCUCACCCUCGAUUGGUGAGUGUUUUAGGGUCCGUUUGGUUCGAGAGUUUUGGAGGGGAGGGGAGGAGAGAUUUUUAAUUUGAUGUGAUUGGUUCAAUUUUUAGAAGGGGAGGGGAGGGAAGGGAAGGGGAGCAAAUCUCUUUAAAAUUUUAUUGCAUUGCAAUAAUUAUACUUAAAUUAAUUUCAAAUCUCAAUAUUAACCUUGUAACAACAAUCUUAUUAUUAUUAGGUUAUCUUAUUCUUGUAACAAUUUUUAUUAUUAUUUUGUUAUAUUUUUCUUGUAACAACUUUUAUUAUUAUAUUAUCUAUCUCUCUUAUUUGUUAUAUGUACAAACCAUUCCUACUAAUACUUUGUUGCUGUCAACGACCGUAUUAUUAUUAUUAUCUUGUUUUAAUUCAGCUUAUUAUUAAAUUUUUUUUCACUGUUAAUUAAUUCACCUAUUCAUGUCUUGUUGUGCAAAAUAUAUGAGCCGGUUUGAGAUAAAGUAAGCAGCUUAGAUGUGUGCUUGUCUUCCAUCGAUCUCUGAAAUCAUAAAAACAAGUGGUUUCUUUUAUUUAAUUAAGUUUAAGGGUAAAAUGGUAAAAUAAUUUUAAAAUACCUCCCCCUCCCCUUGCGAACCAAACACGUUUUUAAUUAAAAUAUCUCCCCUCCCCUUCUAAUUCUCGAAUCAAACGGAUGGUUAUAAAAUGUCUAAGAUUAAUAUUUAUAAAAACUAGGGUUUCUCAUCAACCAAUCCUUAAAAAAGAAACAUUAAAACAACAAUUAAAAUAUAAAUAUUUUUUCCGAUAAAUACAACUUAUAUGGUAAAAAUUAUUUACAAAAACAUUUGAUCUGAUGCCUUCAAAAAAAAAAAAAACAUUUGAUCGAUGAGAUGCAGAUCCAAACUCUUAAUUCUAGACUUCUUUGAACUUAAUGCGUGAGUGUGUGAAUGUUAUUGUUUUAAAACAUAGCCUGAACCUAUGCAUUUUGAGAAGAAAAAUAGAAAAAAAGACAUAUUUUGAACCCUCAACCACAGUUAAACUCUAUAGUAUCUUGGAGACGCUCUUUCAAAAGUUUAGGUGAUGUUUUAUUCAUGAGUUGACUAAUUUAAUAUUAAAUAUAUUAUUUUAAGAUCAACCCUUCUAAAAUGAGAAACUCAUUUUAGAAUGUAAAGUGACUAACAUAAAUCGUUAAUUAAUAAAUAAAAGAUAUAUACUAUAAGCAUAUUAUAACAAACCAUGAGUUCGUUAUAAUAACAAUCUUAGAUUUUUUUCCACUUUACAAGAUCCUUGGAGACGAUGAUGAAACGAGAUAGAUGAUGAUGAUAAUGAAUGAAUGAUUUUUUUGUUUUGUUUUAUGAACGCAUGUAUCAAGAUGAUUAAGAUGAAGAAGAGGAGCAGGGAAGAUGAUGAAUAAAGAUAAAAUAAAUUAAGUAUUGAUGGUGCAUUAUAUUAGAUCUAAAAUAGACAUGCAUAAUCUCACGGUUGCAUUUUUGAAAAAUAGAUCAACAUAAUAUUAAAAAAUUAAUAAGGUAUUUGGUGGAUCAUCUACACUUUUGACACACCUUAGACAUUGAGGUUGAAAGUUAAUGGAAAAUGAUUAAUUAGACUCAUCGAAAUAACAUUAAAGAUCCAAAAUGUAACAAUUAAUUAGGAGACUAAAAUAACAACUAUAAAUAAGUUAAGAGACCAAAUAUACCUACAAAUCGCAGAAUUAUGACCCACAUUAAACCUGCUAUAUGAUCAAGCGAAAGGUCUAAUAAUAUAUUUUAAUCGCAAUUGGUUAAUACAAAUACAAAAUAUAUUACAAAUGGAAGUAUGAGUCAGCCUCAAAUUGAUGUAUGUAGUAGUAUCAAUUUAAUAAGCCAAACAACUCAAUGAUUGCAAACUAAUUAUCAAUAUGAUUUUGAUUAAUUAGUUUAAUGGCUAGAAUUCACGUGUUAAGAUGAAAAAGUCACUACAAAAAAACGCGUUAAUUCUGGCGGUUUUUUACCGGCGGUCCUUAUUAACCGCCACUAUAUCCUGUCACAAUUAUGUAAAUAAUGGCGUUUGAAACUGCCGCUAUAUACAAUUAAAUAACCGCCACUUUAAACCAAGUAUAUAACGGCGGACAACAUGGCGGCUACGUAAAAACUGCCGCUUUAAACAUUGUGGCAGGCGAAAUUUCGGCAGUUCUUGAAACGGCAGAAUUGUGCAUAGUGGCGGCUAAAACCGCCGGAAUAUACAUUUUUUAGCCGCCGGAAAACACGCGUUUUUUUGUAGUGAGUAGGGUUUUAUUUUUUAUUUUUUUUAUGUACAUCAUAUUUUUCAAAUUUUAUGUCAUGUGGAUAAUUUUAUAAAUUUUUUAAAAUAUAAUCAAUUUUAUAUAAGAACAAAAAAUUGUGUAUUAUUUAACAAAAUUAUCCUUCAUUAACGUGAUUUUUUUUUUUCAUUAACUUGAUAGAAAAUAGAGUAUGCACAUUUUUUUUUUCAUAUAAUAAAAAAAAAUAUUAUUCUCGUAGUUGAUACAAGGAAAAAAAUAUUAUAUUUUUCGUUGUAUUCUGCUUUAGAUCUAAUUGUAUCUCUUUGCUAAUAUUUAUUAAUUUUGUUUAGUAUUAUUAUUAGUAUUGAAACUGCAGAUUGUCACGUAAGUCUUUUGCACAACCAUCUUUCUUGGCAUAUCUUUUCUUACUCCAGGGUCAUUUUCUUGCACAACCAUUUUGAGUAGGGCGAAGGCCAAAAUGGAAAAAGUUCACAAAGAGAUUUAUAUGAUAUUGCAAGACAUCAUCGACGAUCACAAAAGCAUUCGCAAGGAAGAUAGCAAUGAUGAAGAUCUAGUAGAUGUUCUUCUCAAGAUUAAACAGGAAAAUUAUCACUCAGAACAUCCUUUAACGGAUGACAAUAUGAAAUCAAUCAUCCAGGUAAGUCUACAAUAAUAUUAUUUUAGAGAGAAAAAAAAUAUGAUUAUCUUGACUAAUAAUAGUAUUUUGGAGAGAACAUCAAAUAAUUGACCUAACUUAAUUUUGGGUGGCGUUGUAUGGAAGAAAAUGCAUGUUGGUUUAGAGAGUAGAUAAUGUUAAUGUUAAUCCAUUUGUAGGACAUGUUCACUGCUGGUACCGAAACAUCGUCAGAGAUGGUAAAGAACCCAAAGGUAAUGGAAGAAGCACAAGUUGAAGUAAGAAGAGUGUUUGAUAAAAAGGGGUAUAUAUGUGGAUGAGAUGGAGUUGCACCUGUUGAUAUACUUAAAGUUUGUCAUCAAAGAAACACUGAGGUUGCAUCCAGUUGCACCAUUGUUAGUUCCAAGAGAAAGUAGGGAGAGAUGCCAAAUUAAUAGGCAUGAGAUCCCAAUUAAGACAAGAGUCGUUAUUAUUGCUUGGGCUAUUGGAAGAGAUCCAAGGUAUUGGGUUGAAGCUGAGAGAUUUAAACCUGAGAGGUUUGUUAAUAGCACAAUUGAAUUCAAAGGCACGGACUUUGAAUACAUACCAUUUGGUGCUGGAAGGAGGAUGUGUCCCGGAAUUGCAUUUGCCCUACCAAACAUUGAGCUACCUCUUGCUCAAUUACUUUACCGGUUUGAUUGGAAGCUUCCCAAUAAAAUGAAGAAUGAAGAACUAGAUAUGGCUGAGUCAUUUGGGAUUACUGUAGGUAGAAAACACGACCUAUAUUUAAUUGCUAUUAAUCGUCUCUGUAAUAUGUAUUAUCUAAGCAAACAAGUUCAGAAACGAUGUUCCUAAUAAAAUUUGUAGUGGUAAACUUUACAUAUAGGUUUACUAUAUGUCGUCUAAAAUUUAUGUAUGAUAUUUGUACCACAAAUAUAGAAUAUGUGUCAAGCAUUGCAUUUGGUUUAGCCUCUUGCUGAAUUAUUUUAUGAAUUUGAUUGAAAGCUUCCCAAUGGAAUGAAUAAUGAAGAACUUGAUAUGACUGAGAGUCAUUUGGGCAUACAGUCGGAAGAAAACAUGACCUAUGUUCGGAUCUUAUUAUUGAUCGUCUAUAAUAUUUGUAUUGUCCCUUUCAAAAUAAAAUAUUUGUAUUGUCUAAGCAAACAAGUUCACAAUGUGGUUAAUUUUCUUAUAUACUUUUAGCAAGGUGUAUGAAUCGUUGUUGACAUUUUUAUUAAGAUUCUACUUUUCACAUUAGAUAUUCAAUUUAGCUCGAAAAUCCCGGAAUUUCUUCAGUUAAUCAAUUUGUUCCAACUCCUUCAUCAAAUCAACAUAUGUUAAAGCAUUUGCAUCAUUUUGCACGCCUAUUUUAGGAAGGAUAAAGAUCUCUCUCUCUCCCUCCCUCCCCCACGUAGGACCACGAGAAAGAUGUAAUAAAUUUAGAGUAUACUGAAUUUCAUUUGUUUGUCAUGUCUCACUUGGUUCUCAGCAUUUGCAAACAUGUCGGUAAGUAUGUACGAGCAUGAAACAUUACAAUCACGUUAUUCAUUGCCUAUCCGAAAUAAAUAAUCAAUAAAAUAGUUUUGGUAUUCAUUAAUUUACCAAGCUUUCUUCAUGUUUUAACUUCAGAACACAAGGAAUGAACGAUGAAAGGAAUGCAGCGAUUGUAGUAAAUUUUAAUGUUUAUACUUUGUAUUCUAUUGGUUGGUCAAUGUUUGAAUUAUUGUGGAUUAUUAGUUAUUUUUUCCAUUAUUGGGUUUGUAUGCUUCCUGCAAGUGGGAGACUAUUGGAGUUGGUUUUGAAUUAAACAUUUUUAAAACAAGUCUCACAUUGUUACGUUUCUAAUCGGUUGAGAUUUGUGGUAAUAAAGAAACAUAGUAAACUUCAACUCUUUUGUGCUGUCAAUCAAAGGAGUUUAGUUUAUAUAUAUAUAGUGUGGACUAUUAUAAUUAAUAGUAUGUCCCAUGUCAAAUGUGAUUUUAGUAAAAAAAAUAUAUAUGUAUGUUUUGUAACAAUUAAUCAUACUCAAUUGUUUGACAGAUACGAAACAUAAAUAUAUUGCUGCUCACUCUCCAUAUUGACAUGCUCUUGGUUCUCAGAAUUUGCAAACAGCUUGUUUCAUGUUUUAACUUCAGGGAACACAAUGAAUAAACGCUGAAAGGAAUGCAGCGACAAAUUGUUCAAAGAGCGCUGCUAUACAACACGACAAACUCAACACACGAAUGCUACAUAAGUUGUUGAACGACACCCAAUUCACUUUAUUAAUAGAUUUCUUUAUGGUUAUUGAUGCUUUUGUAUAUAGUAGUAUAUUAAAAAACAAUGUUAAGCAAUAACUGACAUACAUCUUUGUGUUUAUGUACCCAAAUAAAUAGAUAUGUUUUUUGUACCAAAAAAAAAAAAAAAAGAUAUGUUUUUUUUACCUUGAAAUAAUUUAUCCUUUAGAAAUGGAAAAAAAAAAAAAAAAAAAAGAUGACUAGUCCCAAUUUUUUUCAAGUUAUAGGAUUCAUUUGGCUAAUAGCUUUUUAUAAUUUUUUUUAAUAUUAUAAGAUAUAUUGAGGAACAUGCUAGUUUUUGUUCUUUUUUACCAUUUUUGUAUUUUAUUUAUAUAAAUAUAUCUUUCAUCUAUUUAUCACAAACCAUAGUCUUUCUUACUCACCAAUACAUUUCUCUCUUAUGGUUCUUUCUACUUUCAUUUUCUUCAUCAUGUCUUCUCCUUAUCUUCUAGUAAAUACUAUUGUUUCGAUCAUAUAAAAAACCUUUUGCAAUGUAUAUAUCUUCAAAAAAGACAUUGGGAGGGUUGAAGAACCAACCCAACCAUUUUUUUACUUGGCUAAUGAUCCUACUCGAAAGGUGACUCAUAUUUGUUAUGCGGAGCUUUUGAUCUCGUUGGCAUCUGAUAAAUAUUUUGAUUAUUAUCAUGAAUAUAAACUACUUGAGCCUAACAUGGAAGUACAAAACAUGUUUGUUAAACAAGAGUUUGAAUUAGAAUCACAUGAUUCUCCCCUUUAUGUUAAAUGGAUGUCGGCGAAGCACUAGGACUCAGUCAAGCAUUGUAGUGAAUGGCUAAUUUGUGUUUUGAUAGCACGAAUUGUUCUCUUGAUUCGAAGAUCGUCGUCAAUGCUUUUAAUGGUGAUAACAAUAAUAAUAACGAAUUUGGCAACAUUAUUCAUCAUUGUAAGUAACAUUUUUUUAACAACUCGAAAAUUUAGUUUAACCAGAGACAAUCAAAUGAUGUCGCUCAUAUAUUAGCACAUGUAGCCUCGUUAGAAGCUAGUUGUUAAGUUCUUACUGAUUAUCUUAUAAUUAUAUAAGUCAACAAAAAAUUGUUGUUGCUAAUUAAAAAGCUUAUGUCUCUUUCAAAAUCUAAACCUCGACAACCUCUUUUCCUAAGUAUGCAACGUGGCUAAACAAAAGUCAAAGUUCAAACAACCCAACUCGUGUUAUUUCUUUCUACAAAAAAAAGAAAAAAAGUAAAUCGAAGAACAAAAUCAGAACAACAACAAUAACAACAAAGUUCUCCAUUUCCAACACUUCCGAGAUCCCACUGAACUGAUCCACCACAGGUACAUCCUCCCUCUUCAGUUUCCCUUUCUCUCAUCUUCUGUUAAUAACUAUAGUAGUUUAUUUUUAUGUAAAUUCACUAUUACCCUCUAAUCUUUGGUCUAUUUAGUUUUUUGUUAAACUCAAAAUAUUAAUGAUGUUUUUUUUACGCUUACAAGAAUAAAAAGCAUGCAUUAAAUAAACUUUAGCCUUAAUUACAAUUUUAAUUUCUUUAUUUUUAUUUUUCAGUUAUUCAUGGAAUUGGGCGUCCCAUUUUAAUAUCAUUCAUUUGUUUAUCCCUCCAUCAAUUUUUUUUAAUUAAAAUUGGUGAUUUGAUAUAUUUUAAAUGAUGUGACAUUCUCUAAAAAAAAUAAAUUAUGUGACAUAUAACUUGAUAACGUGCCGUGGUCAACACUCAUGAAAUUAUAUAAUAACUCGUUAAAAACUUUAGUUUCAACUUUAGUAUAUCAUUUUUUAAGUACCAAAAUUUGAUUGAGGAACCAAAAUCUAGGAAAUCAAUUUCGUGAAUUACUGAAAAUGUAGAGGGAUCAAAACUGUAAUUAAAUAAAAAAAAAUUAUCAUUACUAAAUAAAUUAUGAGUAAAAAUGUCUAAACUUUAUUAUUUCUUACUAUAUGUUUUAAAAUAUUAAAGGACCGAUUAGCAGGGGUGGUUGAGAUAUUAUGUUUUCCAGCCCCCGUAUAAUAGGUUUCUAGAUCCGUCCUUAGGUCCAGUAGUGAUUGUCGUAUACCGCAAAAGGUUUAACUGUACUAAGCCAAAAAAUUUAAGAAGACUAGAAUAUAGUUAGUUUUAUAUUAACAUACUUUAGUGGUUGAAAGGAAUGAACUAGCUAUCAGAAUGAUAAUGAACUAGAAACUUAUAGGUUCCUCAUCAAAUAAAUCCUUAAAAAAAAAAACAUUAAAAAACAACUAAAAUAUACCUUUUAAAAAAAACUAUUCGAGCAUGCAUAAUUUUCUUUGGUAAAUAUAUGAUAAAAGGUUGCAUAAAUGUUUGAUAUGAUGAGAUGGAGAUUCAAACUCUUAAUUCCACAUUUCUCUAUGCUUAAUUUGUGUGUGAGUGUGAAUUUUGUUGUUAAAUAACAUAGUUUGAACGUAGACUUUUUGGAAGAAAAGAAAACGACAUAUAUAUUUUGAUCCUUCAACCACAAUUAAACUAUAUAUAGUGCCUUGGAAGUACAAGCGAAAGGUCUAAUAAUUUAUUUUAAUCGCAAUUGGUUGAUACAAAUAAUCCCAAAAUAUGAUGAUGUACCUUGAAGCCUUUUUGUUGUAUCUUUUGCACAUAUACCAUCAUCUAGGCAUUUCAUUUUUUCCUUCAGGGUCAAGCUAUCUCAUGGAGCUUCACAACCAUUUUUUUAAUAUCACCUUCAUUUCCUUCUUUAUCUUCCUCUUGGUGUUAUUCAAAAUAGUCAAAAUAUGGAGUUAUAACACUUCCACGGUUAAUUUGCCACCAGGACCAUGGAAACUACCCUUCAUAGGAAACUUACAUCAGAUUAUCAGCAGAUCAUUGCCCCAUCACCGUUUUAAAUUUUUGGCAGAUAAAUAUGGACCCUUGAUGUACCUGAAAUUAGGAGGGGUGCCAUACGUAAUAGUUAGUUCACCAGAAAUUGCCAAAGAGAUUAUGAAAACACAUGAUCUCAACUUUAGUGGUAGGCCAAACCUUCUUUUGUCUACAAUAUGGAGUUACAAUGCUACUGAUGUUAUAUUCUCGAUAUAUGGAGAACGGUGGAGGCAACUACGAAAGAUAUGUGUUAUAGAACUAUUAAGCGCAAAGCGUGUCCAAUCAUUUAGGUCUAUAAGAGAAGAUGAAGUGACAAAUCUUGUUAAAUCAAUAACUGCAAGUGAAGGAUCAGUUGUUAAUCUCACUCAGAAGAUUUUGUCAACGACAUAUGGGAUAACAGCGCGAGCGGCUUUUGGGAAAAGGAGCAAACACCAAGAAGUGUUUAGAUCAGCAAUAGAGGAAGUAGCAAGUUUGUUGGGAGGCGUUUGUAUUGUGGAUUUGUUUCCUUCUAUUAAAUUGCUUCAAUGCUUGAGUAGAGCGAAGACCAAAAUGGAAAAACUUCACAAAGAGCUUGAUAUGACAUUGCAAGACAUCAUCGACGAUCACAAAAGCAUUCACAAGGAAGAAAGCAAUGAUGAAGAUCUAGUAGAUGUUCUUCUCAAGAUUCAACAGGAAAAUUAUCACUCACAACAUCCUUUAACUGAUGACAAUAUAAAAUCAAUCAUCCAGGUUAGUCCACAACCAAAAUUGUAAGCAAGUUUAUUUCACAAUUUUAAAACUAGUCAGAUUUCCUAGAGGAAAAAAAACAAGAUUAUCUUGACUGUUAAUAGUAUUUUGGAGAGAACAUCAAAUUAAUGACUUAAUUUUUGGGUAGUGUUGUACGGAAGAAAAUGCAUGUUGAUUUAGAGAGUAGAUAGUGUUAAUGUUAAUCCAUUUGCAGGACAUGUUUGGUGCUGGUACUGAAACAUCGUCAGAGGCUGUGAUUUGGGCGAUGUCUGCGAUGGUAAAAAACUCAAAUGUAAUGGAACAAGCACAAGCUGAAGUAAGAAGAGUGUUUGAUAAAAAGGGAUAUGUGGAUGAGACAGAGUUGUACCAAUUGAUAUACUUAAAGUCUGUCAUCAAAGAAACAUUGAGGUUGUAUCCUGUUGCUCCAUUGUUAGUUCCAAGAGAAAGUAGGGAGAGAUGCCAAAUCAAUGGUUAUGAGAUUCCAGCCAAGACAAGGGUUGCUGUCAAUGCUUGGGCUAUUGGAAGAGAUCCAAGGUAUUGGGUUGAAGCUGAGAGUUUUAAACCUGAGAGGUUUGUUAAUAGCCCAAUUGAUUUCAAAGGCACGGACUUCGAAUUCAUACCAUUUGGUGCUGGAAGGAGGAUGUGUCCAGGUAUUGCAUUUGCCUUGCCCAAUGUUGAGCUGCCUCUUGCUAAGUUACUUUAUCACUUUGAUUGGAAGCUUCCCAAUGGAAUGAAGAAUGAAGAAUUGGAUAUGACUGAGUCAUUUGGGAUUACUGCAGGUAGAAAACACGAUCUAUGCUUAAUUCCUAUCCCUCGUCGUUUUUAAUAUGUAUUGUCUAAGCAAACAAGUUCAGAAACGAUGUUCCUAAUAAAAUUUGUAUUGGUUAUCUUUACAUAUAAGUUUCACCAGUGUAACAUUGAUGGAAAAAACAUUACAUUGAUGAAACAUGAGGAUAAUAUUACGUCGUUCAAUAACGUUUUACUCAAUACAUAUUUUAUAAAAUUGACUAUUGUAUUGAAUGUUUAUAUGGUAUAAACCACCUCUAUAAAUUUUUGCAUGAAUCUAAAUCAUUUCAUAUGCUAUUAAGGUGCAUAAAAAUUAACAUAAACGGAGGUGCAAAAUUUCAUAAAAGCUAUUGUUUAUAAUUUAUAUGAAUUAGCGCAAUAAGUAGAUGGAACAACAGGAGUGCCUCCUGUCUAAAUGCUAGUGAUUAAUAAAUAAUUUUAAUAAUCACUUAAUAGUUAACAUUUAAAAGAUAUUAAAAAUUGUACUUCUUUCGCGUAGUAGUUUAUGGCAUAUUCUCUUCCUUCCUUUUUCAUUUCUUGCUCUAUUUCUUUGUAAAGAUCUAAGAUUAUCCUGUAGAGAAACUUCAUAUAAUCUGGAAGAGUAUCCAAACAACUAAUAUCCCACCUGAAAUACUUUCAACAAAAUUAGAGAAAAAAAUGAAUAUAAAAAAAUGCAUCAUAUGUAUCAUCAAUCACAGUUACUAUGACGAUUAAUUUCGUCAUAUUUUUCUUGCUGUAGAAUAUUGAGGCUCAUGAUAUACCCCAAGUCCCCAAAAGCAACUCUCUGCUAUUCUAUCUCGUGCGUAUGGUAGUUUAUCGGGAACUUCCAAUUCCUUCCACCAUCUAUAAAGAUCAAGAACAAAAUUUAAGGAAAUAUUUUUUUUUUGGAUUUCUUAACAUGUACCCUAAGGGCAUAAGUUAACACUACCCUAAUAGUAAAUACAAAGUACGGUCUUUGAAGUAUAUUGAUUAUUUUCCUUUUCCUUACAAAAUAGUGUAUGGUUCGUUGAAGAUCUUACUUGUAAAAGUUACUAAAUUCCUUUUGAUGUAAACUUUGGAGCAUAUUGAAAUCUAGUUUUGCCAAAAUGAGUAAAUUUUUGUUAUGUGAAGGAUCUUGCUCAUAUAUAGAAAUGUAGUUUCGUGCCUCCAACCUAGGCAAGUUUUUAUGGAGGGUCUGCCUUAAGCAAUGUUUGACUUGUAAUGCUUGAGGAUGAGGAUGGUUCAAUUGCUUGGUAAUAGACUCAAGGUGAGUGGUAGUGAAAACCAAGGCCUCUUCCAAAAUGUCCUCUCCAUGAACCAUGACAUGUGUGGCUUCAUAAAAGCUUAAAAUCCCCUCAACAUUUGUAAUAAAUUUUUGACUAAAGUUUCCUUGCUCAUCCUUGAAUUUGUUGAAUACAUCUAGUAUUUUUUUAUAACCAACCACAGAAUUGAACAAACCGCACUUAGCGACAAUGAGAUUUUAGAUAAUUAAAGCAAGAACUAAUCAUCAAGAUUCGAUAUUUCUUAAAAAAAAAAAAAAAAAAAAAACUAGGUAAUAACAAGUUGUGAAGUGGUAUGAGGUGAACAUGCUAUAAUAAAUCAUAAGAGGCAUGACUCCCGAAGCGAUAAGAGGUUGUGAUAAUAGAAACUCUUAAUGAGAUCUAUACUCUAUGUGGAGUGUAGUAUCUAGCUACAAGAGUACUCUUGAUAGACUCACAUUUGUGAAUGUGGAAGUGGGGCCCCCUUCCUAUGGAAUUCUAGACAAAAUUCCUAGAGCCUCAUUAAACCGGAAUUGAUUUGCAGAGCCUUUAAUGCAUGAACUUUUUGAGAAUACACCUAAGAAAAGGUUGUCUAUGGUUUGAUGUCAGAAAUAGAGUUCAAGACUACGAGUCACUCUAGUAAAAUAUGAAUCUUAUUCAGUACGCAAAGGUUCAAGUCAUAAGACACCCUUGCUUAUGAACAAUUUUAGAAGGCAAAGGUUCAAGUCGUAAAACACCUUUGCUUAUAAAAUAUUAAUAGAAACAUCAUUUUUAAAUUCAAGUGGGGGAUUGUUGGAACACUAUAUGUGUUUGUAUGUGAAUUGAAAAAUUCCUAUGUCUCAUAUAAAAUAGAUUAUACACAAUACUAGUGUUUUUUUUGUCAAGUAGUCUAGUGGCUAGAGCUCACACAAUUUAAUUGUGGAGAAGUGGAGUGUCCGGGGUUCGAACUCCGACCCCUGCAUAUAAAAUGCAAUAUCCCUACCAACUGUUACUAUACAUCAUUGUAAAAUAAAAUAUGUAUUUGUUCAAUCACAUCUUAUAACAAUAAAUGAUUAUGGUGAUCAAAAUGUUAUAAAUUGGUAUAACAAAGUGACAAAAUAAAGAGUUGUUCAAGACUUUUGUUGAGGUAUGUAGAAUAAUUUUUACGUCGAGAGUACAUAUUAAUUCAACAAAAUUAGUAUUAUGUUAUUAUUAUUUUUAUUAUACAUAUACUCACAUAUACUCCAAUCCAUUAGUAUCACUUAGCUCUAUUUUUAACUUACUUUAAGUAGAUAAUACCGUUAAUUGGUGUAGAGUUUUGUAGGUUUACUCAAAAAUAGAAAGUUGGGUACCUUGACUUGAAUAGUUGAAUUGAUAUGAUCUUAUUUUUUCUAACUUUUUCUAUAAAAUCAUAUUUAUCAGAUUCUAACUCCAACAUUCAAGAAACAUAUCAAAUCAAAUUACUGUGGAGGAAAGCUUAAUUGACUACCUUUUGCUGGUUUUACAACACAAUAAUUAAUAAAAAUAACGGCACAUGAGAUAUCUUUUAAGUAAAAUUCUAAUAAGUGUUUUUUGAACACUAGUUUUAAAAAAUUAAUAUAAUAUCUUAAUACUGGUUUAACCAAAGUUUUAAAAAUAUAAAAAACAAUAUUUUUAAUUUAAUAAUUUUCUUUUUUGGUUCUUUAACUAAUGUCACAUAGACACUAGUUAACAUUAUCAUAUUUAAUUUUGAUUUGAGAACAUGCCACAUGCAUAAAAAUUGUAUGGUAGCCAAACAAUAGUUUGCAUGAGAACGAUAGCCGAAUAAAAAAUGUUAAUUUCAUCAUAUGCUCCGAAGGCUGUGCUCUUGUUCUUUAUUGCUAUCCAUCAAAUCAAAGAAUUUAAAUAGCGAAUUUUCAUUUUCGUAUAAUUUGCCAGCGUGCCUAUCAAACAAAAGUAUGUCUUGAAUUUUCAUUUAUUUUAAGGAAAAAGUAUGUCUUGAAAUUGUCAACGUGAUUACAAAUGAUAAAUAAAAUUUCUCAAAAUUACUUACUAUUAAUUGAUCCUAUACAAAAAUGCACACAUGAAGAUAGUCUUGUAUAUAUCUAUAUAUCUAUAUGCGAUGACUAGGAAAUAAAGCAAAUGCUUCACUUUGCUAUUUAUGAAAUGAGCAACUGUAUAUAAUGAAGUUUUAAUUUUGUUCACUAAUACUAGAAUAUGUCAUUACAUUUAAUUCAUAAACACUCUAAAAUUAUUGCAUUUUAUAAAUUAGGAGACUAAAUUAAGGGAACAAAUAUACCUACAAAUUGCAGAAUUAUGACCCACAUUAAACCUGCUAUAUGAUCAAGCGAAAGGUGUAAUAAUAUAUUUUAAUCGCAAUUGGUUAAUACAAAUACAAAAUAUAUUACAAAUGGAAGUAUGAGUCAGCCUCAAAUUGAUGUAUGUAGUAGUAUCAAUUUAAUAAGCCAAACAACUCAAUGAUUGCAAACUAAUUAUCAAUAUGAUUUUGAUUAAUUAAUUUAAUGGUUAGAAUUCACGUGUUAAGAUGAAAAAGUAGGGUUUUAUUUUUUAUUUUUUUUAUGUACAUCAUAUUUUUCAAAUUUUAUGUCAUGUGGAUAAUUUUAUAAAUUUUUUAAAAUAUAAUCAAUUUUAUAUAAGAACAAAAAAUUGUGUAUUAUUUAACAAAAUUAUCCUUCAUUAACGUGAUUUUUUUUUUCAUUAACGUGAUAGAAAAUAGGGGCGGUUAUGCACAUACUUUUUUUUUCAUAUAAUAAAAAAAGAGAAAUGAUAUAUGAACAAUCAUUUUUACAAUUUUUGUGACAACUUUCUUUCUCAUACUCACAUUAUCUUUGUACUUUCUCUCUCUAUUACUUUGGUUUUUGUGUCAAUACCUCAUUUCCUUUGUAAAAUUUUGGUUGUCACAAAAAUUGUCACAUAUAUGGAUAUUCAAAUAACACAACUCAUAAAAAAAAUAUUAUUCUCGUAGUUGAUGGAAGGAAAAAAUAUUAUAUUUUUCGUUGUAUUCUGCUUUAGAUCUAAUUGUAUCUCUUUGCUAAUAUUUAUUAAUUUUGUUUAGUAUUAUUAUUAGUAUUGAAACUGCAGAUUGUCACGUAAGUCUUUUGCACAACCAUCUUUCUUGGCAUAUCUUUUCUUACUCCAGGGUCAAGCUAUCUCAUGGAGCAUCACAACCAUCUUUCUAAUAUUACCUUCAUUUCCUUCAUUAUCUUCCUCUUGGUGUUAUUCAAAAUAGUCAAAAUAUGGAGUUAUAACACUUCCACGGUUAAUUUGCCACCAGGACCAUGGAAACUACCCUUCAUAGGAAACUUACAUCAGAUUAUCAGCAGAUCAUUGCCCCAUCAUCUCUUCAAAAUUUUGGCAGAUAAAUAUGGACCUCUAAUGCACCUUAAACUAGGAGAGGUACCAUACGUAAUAGUUAGUUCACCAGAAAUUGCCAAAGAGAUUAUGAAAACACAUGAUCUCAACUUUUGUGAUAGGCCAAACCUUCUUUUGUCUACAAUAUUUAGUUACAAUGCUACUGAUGUUAUAUUUUCGAUGUAUCGAGAAUGGUGGAGGGAACUACGAAAGAUAUGCGUUAUAGAACUAUUAAGUGCAAAGCGCAUCCAAUCAUUUAGGUCUAUAAGAGAAGAUGAAGUGACAAAUCUUGUUAAAUCAAUAACUUUUAAGUGAAGGAUCAGUUGUUAAUCUCAGUGAGAAGAUUUUCUCAAUGACAUAUGGGAUAACAGCGAGGGCGGUUUUUGGGAAAAGGAAUAGACACCAAGAUGUGUUCAUACCAGCAUUGGAGAAAGUAGUGGUGCUAUUAGGAAGAUUUGAAAUUGCAGAUUUGUAUCCUUCUAUUAAAUUGCUUCAAUGGAUGACUAGGGAGAAGACCAAAAAUGUUAUAUUUUAAAUAAGAAACUUUGUUGAAGAAGUUAUUUCAAAAAUCUAGCAUUAAAGUUGUUUAAUGCUGAAAAUGAUUGAAGUAUAAAUAUGAGAAUUUUUUCUGACCCCAAACGUUUAAAAAAAAAAAAAAGUGUCUAUACUUUGUUCAGAUUUAAUGAUAAAAACACGUUUGUCAUAAAAAUGGUUCACCGGUGAUAAGUUCGCAAGAUGUGUCUUAUAACAUAAAAAACAUAAUGCUAUGUUUGCCGGUUAUUUUUACAACAGAAGCAUUUUUAUCAUUAAAUCUUAACAAAGACUAAAAGAGCAUACACAUGCAUUAUUAUUUUUUGUUUGGGGGUUAGAAAAAAAAAUCUAAAUAUGAAAAAGAACAUUCUUAGAGAAUCUUUGCAAAAAGGGUAGAUUAAAAGCUUGUUGAAUCCAAUUAAUUUUCCAGCACCAUAUCAAAGUUUUCAUUUAGACCAAUGAGAGAGAGCUCCACAAAGCAUCAUUAACAAAAAUGGUAUUGUUUCACGAGUUUGAAAGACUUUUUGGUAUUUUUUUCACGUUCACAUGACACCAAAAGACAAAAAUGUACUACCAUACCACUUUUAGAAAUUUUUAGGUGGCAACGUAAAAGAAGAUAUCUUUCUGACGAGUUUUACACGACGUUUGAAGGUUAUGUUUGCAUAGAACCCCAACUUCAAUUGAUAAUAUAUAUAAUGAAAGCUCAACAGACAUAAGCAUAAGGUGUUUUGGAAAUUUGUCCAUAAUCCAAAAAUAAUUCAGAUUUUUUAUUCCGGUAAGGAUGAUUGAUUGGGUGAUAAUAAUGACAUAUAAUUACAAGUCUACCUAAACCCUAUUUUUUAUUCUUGUGUAGUGGUUGUUUUAUUUUGACUCCACAAGCACACCUUGUUCUUCAUGUGUGUGUGUCUUUUUAUUAAAUUGCUUUGGAUUGGAUGGUAUCAAUAUUUUUAAUUAUAUGUGAUUAUUGGAGCUCCUAUUUUUGACCACACAAGGCACACCUUAUUCCUUCAUGUGUGUCUUUAUUAAACUGCUUUGUAUUGCAAAUAUAUAAAAAUAUUAAAAAACAGGCACAUGGUUGGUGCAAGGUGAAAAUGUUAUUUAUAAUAUUUCUUUACAUUAGAACGUGUAUCUUAAUGUUAAUACUGUAUUGAUUUUAUAUUAGUAUUUAGUUGUGUAUUAAUUAACAUGUCUGCAUUGUAUUGAAAUUGCAAGUGAUCGAAUUUUGAGCGUUUUGAAGAGAAACCUUGUUUGUCAAGGCACUCUUUGGAUUCUUUAGAUCAAACAACCAACAUGGAGCUUCACAACCCUUUUUCUAAUAUCAUCUUCAUGCUCUCCUUUCUCAUCCUCUUAGUGCUAUUCAAAAUAGUUAAAAGAUGGAGUUUUAACAAUUCCACUACCAAAUUGCCACCUGGACCAUGGGAACUACCCCUCAUAGGAAACUUACAUCAGAUUAUCAGCAGAUCAUUGCCCCAUCACCGCUUCAAAAUUUUGGCUGAUAAAUAUGGACCUUUAAUGCACCUUAAACUAGGAGAGGUACCAUACAUAAUAGUUAGUUCACCAGAAAUUGCCAAAGAGAUUAUGAAAACACAUGACCUUACCUUUAGUGAUAGGCCAAACCUUCUUUUGGCCACAAUAUUAACUUACAAUGCUACUGAUGUUAUAUUCUCUAAAUAUGGAGAACGGUGGAGGCAACUACGAAAGAUAUGUGUUGUAGAGCUAUUAAGUGCAAAGCGUGUCCAAUCAUUUAGGUCCACAAGAGAAGAUGAAGUAUCAAAUCUUGCUACAUCAAUAACUGCAAGUGAAGGAUCAAUUGUUAAUCUCACUCAUAAGAUUUUCUCAAUGACAUAUGGGAUAACAACGCGGGCGGCUUUUGGCAAAAGGAGCAAACACCAGCAAUCGUUUAAAUCAGCAGUAGAGGAAAUAGUAAGUUUGUUGGGAGGCAUUUGUAUUGUUGAUUUGUAUCCUUCUAUUAAAUUGCUUCAAUGCGUGAGUAGGGCGAAGGCCAAAAUGGAAAAACUUCACAAAGAGAUUGAUAUGAUAUUGCAAGACAUUAUCGACGAUCACAAAAGCAUUCACAAGGAAGAUAGCAAUGAAGAAUAUCUAGUAGAUGUUCUUCUCAAGAUUCAACAGGAAAAUUAUCACUCACAACAUCCUUUAACCGAUGACAAUAUAAAGUCAAUCAUCCAGGUUAGUCAACAAUCAAAAGUGUUAGAAAGUUUAUUUCAAAAUUAAAAACUAGUUUAUAAAUUUGCAUAUAUGCUUAGAAGUCAGAUUUCCUAGAGGAAGAAAAUAAGAUUAUCUUGAUUAAUAAUAGUAUUUUGGUGAGAACAUCAUAUUAAUGACUUAACUUUUGUUUAGAGAAAUAGAUCGUGUUAAUGUUAAUCCAUUUGUAGGACAUAUUCGAUGCUGGUACCGAAACAUCGUCAACGACUGUGUUAUGGGCGAUAUCUGAGAUGGUAAAGAAUCCAAAGGUGAUGGAAGAAGCACAAGCUGAGGUAAGAAGAGUUUUUGAUAGGAAGGGGUUUGUGGAUGAGACAGAGUUGCACCAAUUGAUAUACUUAAAAUCUGUGAUCAAGGAAACAAUGAGGCUACAUCCAACCGUACCGUUGUUACUUCCAAGAGAAAGUAGGGAGAGAUGCCAAAUCAAUGGGUAUGAAAUCCCAGCUAAGACAAGGGUCAUGGUUAAUGCUUGGGCUAUUGGAAGAGAUCCAAGGUAUUGGGUUGAUGCUGAAAGUUUUAAACCUGAGAGGUUUGUUAAUAGUCCAAUUGAUUUCAAAGGCACAGACUUUGAAUACAUACCAUUUGGUGCUGGAAGAAGGAUGUGUCCCGGAAUUGCAUUUGCCUUACCCAACGUUGAAUUGCCUCUUGCUAGUUUACUUUACCACUUUGAUUGGAAGCUUCCCAAUAAAAUGAAGAAUGAAGAACUAGAUAUGACCGAGUCAUUUGGGAUUACUGCAGGUAGAAAGCACAAUCUAUGCUUAAUUCCUAUUACUCGUCGUCUUUAAUAUGUAUUGUCUAAGCAAACAAGUUCAGAAACGACGUUCCUAAUAAAAUUUGUAUUGGUUAUCUUUACGUAUAGGUUCACUAUAUGUUGUCUAAAAUUUGUGUAUGAUAUUUGUUCCACAAACAAAUAUAGAAUUUAUGUUGAAAGGAAGUUGCGAACUAUUUGUACAGUAUUGUGUAAUACAUUAACCAGAGAAGAAUCUUUUCCUUGACUGCCAAGGAAGAAAUCCACCUAAAAUCGAUAGCAUAUGAAGAAUGAAGAAGGGUUGUGAGGCAAUCAACAUCACACAAGUAACUUACCUUAAAAAAAUAGAGAAACAAUAAAUCAAUGAGAAGUAAUUAACAAUGCUUAUAUAGGACCAUAAUCAUAAAUAUAUAAAAAUGCUAAAUCCAUAUUAAUGGUUAUGAAAUCUAAUUCUUCCUCUCUGUUAAUCUUGUACUUUACACUAAUAGUGGUAGCUUUCCCUAUAUGGGUCUUAUAACAAUAACAUAAAAAACAUAAUGCUAUGUUCGCCAGUUCAUUUUUACAACAGAAGCAUUUGUAUCAUUAAAUCUAAAUAUGAAAAAGAACAUUCUUGGAGAAUCUUUGCAAAAAGGGUAGAUUAAAGGCUUGUUGAAUCCAAUGAAUUUUCCAGCACCAUUUCAAAGUUUUCAUUUAGUCCAAUGAGAGAUCAACAAUGCAUCAUUUACAAAAAUUGUAUAUUGAGAAUGUGAUAUAUAUAUAUACACGAUGCAAUAAACACUUGCCAACUGUAUUUUGAAAUCUUCGCUAUGCUAUCUCUCGCUGUAAAUAGCAUUUUCCUAUAAUUAAUUUGGCAUAAAAGUCUAAUCAUGAUUAUGUUUCGUGUGAUACAUGAGUGCUUGGAAAGAUUAGUGUUAGGAAAGAGUGAUAUUACAAAUGAGUGAAUCAACCCACUAAUGGGAUGGUUACAACCAUAUAUACUACUACAAGACUAAUACUAAUUGUGUCUAAACUAUAUCUCUAAUAAUUAGUGAUAGUUGAGAUGAAAGUUUUCUCAACUAUCAGAUCUUCUUUCUUAGAUCACCCUUUGAUCUUUACAUAAGAAAAAUGCUAUUUACAGCGAGAGAUAACAUAGCGAAGAUUUCUAGAUACAGUUGGCAAGUGUUUAUUGCAUCGUGUAUUUGUUUACUUCCUAUUUUUCAGCCACACCUCCUUGAAUUGUGUCAAAUAGCACAUUGUGAUUGGCUGCUCUUUAUUCUUGAAGAGAUCGUGAUGUUAUUUUUCUAGAGAUAUAGCAUUGCUCUUAAUUAUGUUCGCAUAGUAGCCCUGUCUCUUUUGAGGCAAGGGCGAGGGUUUGGUUGUUGCUCUCGUAGUUGCACUCUUAUCCUUUGAAGUUGAUAAAUGAAACCAACUUCAAUUGACAACAUAAUGAAAGCUCAACAGACAUAAGCAUAAGGUGUUUUGGAAAGUGGCCAUAGUCCAAAAUUAAUUCAGUUUUUUUUUUUAUUUCUUUUCCGGUAAGAAUGAUUGAUUUGGUGAUAAUGACAUGACAUAUAAUUACAAGUCUAACAAGACCCUAUUUGAAAAAAGAUAGAUUACCAAAUGGAGUGCUGAAAUCACUAGUGUCUUUUGGUUUAACUAUGUAGUGUUACUAUUAAUUUUUACUAUUUUUACACUAAGCUCUUCAAAAUGUUAGUGGAUGAUUUUUUCAUGUGCAUAAUACAAAAAAUAUGAAAUUUGCAUGAGUCAGCCUAAAAUUGAAAGGAUCAAUUUAAUAAGCCCUUGAAGACGGGAAGAUGACAAUCGAGUCUGGCAUGGUGUGCUGCAAUUUAAUUAACUCUUAAUCGCAAAUUAUUAAUGUGAUGGUGUUGUUUGUUUUAUUUUGACUCCACUAAGUACACCUUGUUCUUUAUAUGUGUGUGUCUUUCUACUAAGUUGCUUUGGAUUGGAUGGUAUCAAUAUUUUUUAAGUAUAUGUGCUUAGGUUGUUCUAUUUUUGACCACACAAAGCACACCUUAUGAUUCAUGUGUGUCUUUAUUAAAUUGCUUUGCAUAUAUUAAAAGAAAUAAAAAUAAACAACAGGCACAUGGUUGGUGCAAGGAGAAAAUGUUAUUUAACAUGUCUGCAUUAUAUUGAAAUUGCAAGUGAUCUAAUUUUGAGUGUUUUGCAUAGAAAUCUUCUUUGUCAAGGCACUCUUCAGAUUCUCUAGAUCAAGCUACCAUCAUGGAGCUUCAAAAUCCUUUUUCGAAUAUCAUCUUCAUUCUCUCCUUUCUCAUCCUCUUAGUUCUAUUCAAAAUAGUUCAAAGAUGGAGUUUUAACAAUUCGACUACCAAAUUGCCACCAGGACCAUGGAAACUACCCCUCAUAGGAAACUUACAUCAGAUUAUCAGCAGAUCAUUGCCCCAUCAUCUCUUCAAAAUUUUGGCAGAUAAAUAUGGACCUCUAAUGCACCUUAAACUAGGAGAGGUACCAUACGUAAUAGUUAGUUCACCAGAAAUUGCCAAAGAGAUUAUGAAAACACAUGAUCUCAACUUCUGCGACAGGCCAAACCUUCUUUUGUCCAAUAUAUAUAGUUACAAUGCUACAGACAUUGCCUUCGCUGCAUACGGUGAACAUUGGAGGCAAUUACGAAAGAUAUGUGUUAUAGAGCUAUUAAGUGCAAAGCGUGUACAAUCAUUUAGGUCCAUAAGAGAAGAUGAGGUGUCAAACCUUGUUAAAUCAAUAACUGCAAGUGAAGGAUCAGUUGUUAAUCUCACUCGGAAGAUUUUCUCAAUGACAAAUGGGAUAACAGCGCGGGCAGCUUUUGGGAAAAGGAAUAGACACCAAGAUGUGUUCAUACCAGCAUUGGAGAAAGUAGUGGUGCUAUUAGGAAGAUUUGAAAUUGCAGAUUUGUAUCCUUCUAUUAAAUUGCUUCAAUGGAUGACUAGGGAGAAGACCAAAAUGGAAAAACUUCAUACAGAGAUUGAUAUGAUAGCACAAGACAUCAUCGACGAUCACAGAAGUAUUCACAAGGAAGCAAGCAAUGAUGAAGAUCUAGUAGAUGUUCUUCUCAAGAUUCAACAGGAAAAUUAUCACUCAGAACAUCCUUUAACCGAUGACAAUAUGAAAUCAAUCAUCCAGGUUAGUCUAAACCGAAAGUGUUAGCAAGUUUAUUUCACAAUUUAAAAACUAGUUUACAAAUUUGCAUACGCUUAGAAGUCAGAUUUCUAGAGGAAAAAUAAAUAAGAUUAUCUUGAUUAAUAAUGCUCAUUCCGUCCCUAUAUCUAAGCAGUAAGCACCCUUUUAUUAGAGGGAAAGGGUGCUUACAUACAGGGACGGGGGGAGUAGUAUUUUGGAGAGACGUCAAAUUAAUGACUUAACUAUUGGGUAGCGUUGUAUGUAAUGUUAAUGUUAAUCCAUUUGUAGGACAUGUUCCUUGCUGGUACCGAAACAUCGUCACAGGUUCUGUUAUGGGCGAUGUCUGAGAUGGUGAAGAACCCAAAGGUAAUGGAAGAAGCACAAGAUGAAGUAAGUAGAGUGUUUGAUAAAAAGGAGUAUGUGGAUGAGACAGAGUUGCACCAAUUGAUAUACUUAAAGUCCGUCAUCAAAGAAACAUUGAGGUUGCAUCCCGUUGCACCAUUGUUAGUUCCAAGAGAAAGUAGGGAGAGAUGCCAAAUCAAUGGGUAUGAAAUCCCAGCUAAGACAAGGGUAAUGGUUAAUGCUUGGGCUAUUGGAAGAGAUUCAAGGUAUUGGGUUGAAGCUGAGAGUUUUAAACCUGAGAGGUUUGUUAAUAGUCCAAUUGAUUUCAAAGGCACGGACUUCGAAUUCAUACCAUUUGGUGCUGGAAGAAGGAUGUGUCCAGGUAUUUCAUUUGCCAUACCCAAUGUUGAGCUGCCUCUUGCUAAGUUACUUUAUCACUUUGAUUGGAAGCUUCCCAAUGGAAUGAGCCAUCAAGAACUUGAUAUGACUGAGUUUUUUGGGAUUACUGUAGGUAGAAAACACGACCUAUGUUUAAUUCCUACUACUCGUCGUCUUUAAUGUGUAUUAUCUAAGCAAACAAAUUCAAAAACAAUGUUCCUAAUAAAAUUUGUAAUGGUAAACUUUACAUAUAGGUUUACUAUAUGUCGUCUAAAAUUUGUGUAUGAUUGUACCACAAAUAUAGAAUAUGUGUCCAAGCAUUGCAUUUGGUUUAGCCAAUGUUGAACUGCGUCUUGCUGAAUUACUUUAUGACUUUGAUUGAAAGCUUUCCAAUGGAAUGAAUAAUGAAGAACAGUCGUUUGGGCUGACAGUCGGAAGAAAACACGACCUAUGUUCGUUUCCUAUUACAGGUUGUCUAUAAUAUUUGUAUUGUGCACUGCCUUUCAAAAAGAAAUAUUUGUAUUGUCUAACCAAAGAAGUUCACAAUGUGGUUAAUUAAUUACUUAUACUACUUUCUGCAAGGCGUCGUGUAAUUCGUUGUUCACAUUUUUAUUAAGAUUCUACGUUUGACAUUAGAUAACUUGAAAAUCCUGGGAUUUCUUCGGUUAAUCAGUUUGUUCCAACUCCUUCAUCAAAUCAAGAUAUGCCAAAGCAUUUGCAUCAUUUUGCACGCCUAUUUUAGUAUGUUUAAUUUGUAAGGAUUAAGAUUUCUCUCUCGGUUUUCUAUGUAGGACCACGAGAAAGAUGCAACUAAUUUCAUUUUUGUGUCAUGUCUCACUUGGUUCUCAGCAUUUGCAAACAUGCAUGUCGGUAAGUAUGUACGAGCAUGAAACAUUAUUCUUGUUAUUCAUUGCCUAUCCAAAAUAAAUAAAUAAAAUAGUUUUUGUAUUCUUUAAUGGGAAAUGCUAAUUAACUUGUCUAUUUAUGAAAUCUUUAACAUGAGUCAUAAGGGUACAAGUUAACAAGACCCUUCAUUAAUUUACCAAGCUUGUUUAAUGUUUUAACUUCAGGGGACACACAAGGAAUGCGGUGAAAGGAAUUUAGCAACAAAUUCAAAAUUCUUUGUGCUUUUGUACCCAAAUAAAUAGAUAUGUUUUUUUUACCUGAAAUCAUUAAAAUUUCAGGUAACGAUAAGUUAAUUAUUAAAGGAGUAAUGCUAGCAACACUCUUUUGAACACACUCUUUAAUACUACAUUUCUUAUUGGUUUAAAUCAUUGUGAGUCUACACUUUGAAAAUUGAACCUACACAAAGUGAUGGGACAUACAUUAAUUUCAUCUAAUAAAAGAGUGGAUGCUACAAAGAGUGUUCAAAAAUAAAUGUUUCUAACAUUACUAUUAUUGAUGUGUUGCCUCUUAUCUCAUUUUAAUAAAAAUCUCACCACUAGUUCAUAUACUUUACCACUAGUUUCUCACACUACACAUUCUAACACUAGGGUUUAUAAUAUCAUUCUGAUUCACGAACUAGUUAAAAGAUGUUGUUUUUUCAAGGGCGAGGGUUUGGUUGUUGCUCUCUUAGUUGCACUCUUAUCCUUUGAAGUUGAUAAAUAAAUGAAACCAAUUACUUCGAUUGAUUAUGAAAGCUCAAAAGACAUAAGUAUAAGGUGUUUUGGAAAGUGGCCCAUAGACCAAAAUUAAUUCAGAUUUUUUUUCCGGUAAGGGUGAUUGAUUUGGUAAUAAUGACAUAUAAUUACAAGUCUAGCAAGACCCUAUUUGAAAAUGAUAGAUUACCAAAUGGAGUUUAUCUGAAAUCACUAGUGUCUCUUGGUUUAACUAUGUAGUGCUAUUAUUAAUUCUUACAAAUAAUUUAUUUGACAUAAUGACCGAAGUAAAUAAUACAUUAAGCUCUUCAAAAUGUUUGUGGAUGAUUUUUUCAUGUGCAUAAUACAAAAAAUAUAAUUCCACAAAAAAAUUGAUAGGAUCAAUUCAAUUUAAUAAGCCCUUGAAGGAAGAUGACAAUCGAGUCUGACAUGGCGUGCUGCAAUUUAAUUAACUCUUAAUCGCAAAUUAUUAAUAUGAUGGUGUUGGACGUUUCAUUUUGACUCCACAAAGUACACCUUAUUCUUCAUGUGUGUCUUACUUUUUAUUAAAUUGCUUUGGACUGGUUGUUCUAUUUUUUACCACACAAAGCACACCUUAUGCUUCAUUUGUGUCUUUAUUAAAUUGCUUUGCAUAUAUUAAAAAAUAAUAAUAAACAACAGGCACAUGUUUGGUGCAAGGAGAAAAUGUUAUUUAACAUGUCUGCAUUAUAUUGAAAUUGCAAGUGAUCUAAUUUUGAGUGUUUUGCAUAGAAAUCUUCUUUGUCAAGGCACUCUUCAGAUUCUCUAGAUCAAGCUACCAUCAUGGAGCUUCAAAACCCUUUUUCGAAUAUCAUCUUCAUGCUCUCCUUUCUCAUCCUCUUAGUUCUAUUCAAAAUAGUUCAAAGAUGGAGUUUUAACAAUUCCACUACCAAAUUGCCACCAGGACCAUGGAAACUACCCCUCAUAGGAAACUUACAUCAGAUUAUCAGCAGAUCAUUGCCCCAUCACCUCUUCAAAAAGUUGGCAGAAAAAUAUGGACCUUUGAUGCACCUUAAACUAGGAGAGGUACCAUAUGUAAUAGUUAGUUCACCAGAAAUGGCAAAAGAGGUUAUGAAAACACAUGACCUUACAUUUUGUGAUAGGCCAAACCUUCUUUUGUCAACAAUAUGGAGUUACAAUGCUACAAAUAUUGUCUUCGCUACAUACUGUGAACAUUGGAGGCAAGUACGAAAGAUAUGUGUUAUAGAGCUAUUAAGUGCAAAGCGUGUCCAAUCAUUUAGGUCCAUAAGAGAAGAUGAAGUGACAAAUCUUGUUAAAUCAAUAACUGCAAGUGAAGGAUCGGUUGUAAAUCUCACUCGGAAGAUUUUCUCAAUGACAAAUGGGAUAACAGCGCGGGCAGCUUUUGGGAAAAGGAAUAGAAACCAAGAUGUGUUCAUAUCAGCAAUGGAGAAAGUAUUGGUGCUAUUAGGAGGAUUUGAAAUUGCAGAUUUGUAUCCUUCUAUUAAAAUGCUUCAAUGCAUGAGUAGGGAGAAGACCAAAAUGGAAAAAAUUCAUAGAGAGCUUGAUAUGAUAAUGCAAGACAUCAUCGACGAUCACAGAAGCAUUCACAAGGAAGCAAGCAACGAUGAAGAUCUAGUAGAUGUUCUUCUCAAGAUUCAACAGGAAAAUUAUUACUCAGAACAUCCUUUAACCGAUGACAAUAUGAAAUCAAUCAUCCAGGUUAGUCUAAAACCAAAAGUGGUAGCAAGUUUAUUUCACAAUUUAAAAACUAGUUUAUAAAUUUGCAUAGCUUAGAAGUCUGAUUUCUAGAGGAAAAAUAAUUAGGAUUAUCUUGAUUAAUAAUAGUAAUUUGGAGAGAACAUCAAAUUAAUGACUUAACUUUUGGGUAGCGUUGUACGUAAUGUUAAUGUUAAUCCAUUUGUAGGAUAUGUUCAUUGCUGGUACCGAAACAUCGUCAGAGGUAUUGUUAUGGGCGAUGUCUGAGAUGGUAAAGAACCCAAAGGUAUUGGAAGAAGCACAGAUUGAAGUAAGAAGAGUGUUUGAUAAAAAGGGGUAUGUGGAUGAGUCAGAGUUGCACCAAUUGAUAUACUUAAAGUCUGUCGUCAAAGAAACAUUGAGGUUACAUCCCGUUGCACCAUUGUUAAUUCCAAGAGAAAGUAUGAAGCCAUGCCAAAUUAAUGGGUAUGAAAUCCCAGCUAAGACAAGGGUAAUGGUUAAUGCUUGGGCUAUUGGAAGAGAUUCAAGGUAUUGGGUUGAAGCUGAGAGUUUUAAACCUGAGAGGUUUGUUAAUAGCACAAUUGAAUUCAAAGGCACGGACUUCGAAUUCAUACCAUUUGGUGCUGGAAGGAGGAUGUGUCCCGGAAUUGCAUUUGCCCUACCAAACAUUGAGCUAC
rnacentral:lncRNA from 1 species